rnacentral:rRNA from 1 species
GAUGAACGCUGGCGGCGUGCCUAAUACAUGCAAGUCGAGCGAAUGGAUUAAGAGCUUGCUCUUAUGAAGUUAGCGGCGGACGGGUGAGUAACACGUGGGUAACCUGCCCAUAAGACUGGGAUAACUCCGGGAAACCGGGGCUAAUACCGGAUAACAUUUUGAACCGCAUGGUUCGAAAUUGAAAGGCGGCUUCGGCUGUCACUUAUGGAUGGACCCGCGUCGCAUUAGCUAGUUGGGGAGGUAACGGCUCACCAAGGCAACGAUGCGUAGCCGACCUGAGAGGGUGAUCGGCCAAACUGGGACUGAGACACGGCCCAGACUCCUACGGGAGGCAGCAGUAGGGAAUCUUCCGCAAUGGACGAAAGUCUGACGGAGCAACGCCGCGUGAGUGAUGAAGGCUUUCGGGUCGUAAAACUCUGUUGUUAGGGAAGAACAAGUGCUAGUUGAAUAAGCUGGCACCUUGACGGUACCUAACUAGAAAGCCACGGCUAACUACGUGCCAGCCGCCGCAGUAA